rnacentral:rRNA from 1 species
AACGUAGGUGGCGAGCGUUAUCCGGAUUCAUUGGGCGUAAAGAGCUUGUAGGUGGCUUUGUAAGUUGGACGUGAAAACUCCGGGCUUAACUUGGAGAGGCCGUUCAAUACUGCGAGGCUGGAGGAUGUCAGAGGGAAGUGGAAUUCCUGGUGUAGCAGUGAAAUGCGUAGAUAUCAGGAGGAACACCCGUGGCGAAGGCGGCUUCCUGGGACAUACCUGACACUGAGAAGCGAAAGCUAGGGGAG